rnacentral:misc_RNA from 1 species
GAUGAAGAACGUAGCGAAAUGCGAUAAGUAAUAUGAAUUGCAGAAUUCAGUGAAUCAUCGAAUCUUUGAACGCACAUUGCGCCCGCCAGUAUUCUGGCGGGCAUGCCUGUUCGAGCGUCAUUUCAACCAUCAAGCCCCCGGCUUGUGUUGGGGACCUGCGGCUGCCGCAGGCCCUGAAAUGCAGUGGCGGGCUCGCUGUCACUCCGAGCGUAGUAGUUACAUCUCGCUCUGGGCGUGCUGCGGGUUCCGGCCGUUAAAAGCCUUAUUUACCCAAGGUUGACCUCGGAUCAGGUAGGAAGACCCGCUGAACUUAAGCAUAUCAAUAAGCGGAGGA